AAAGAAAACGAGGGAGAACGUUGUUAGUUGUUGCUGCGACCGCAACUCUACAUUUAUAACCGAAACACAGUCAGUAUGGCUUUCCUCCGGCAGACGGCGCUGACAUUAAAUGACGAAGAGUGCGCGCGAGAGAGAUAGAAAAUCAGUCAGAACGUGUCGUCGGGCGUUGUGUAGCCACAUCAAAUUGAUUUGUUCCUUUUGGCUAUAAAAAUGAUAUGAUCUGAUCCAGGUUCGGCAAACUGAUAAGAAUACUAUUAUCUGAAGAUAGCGAAAAUGUGUGACCUUUGAGGACUUUGCUCACCAAAUUAAAUUAAAUUUGUAUUAAAGUACAUACAAUAGGACUUUUUGAUUUUUCGCUCCAGCCCCAUAAAAUGAACCCAGCAGAUAAUCUUGGUGGGCUUCGCUUUCUUCUUGGUAUUUAACGGGAAUGUGUAUGGAAUGAAUCAAUAAUUAGUCUUCAUGUCGUAAAACUUCGAAAGUUCGGAUGUAGUCAAGGACUGGAGAUCGACGUCAAGGGCCGGCAUGCUUAAGGAAGACGCCCUCAGCGGCGAUCGACCAGCAUCGGAGGAAGCAGAAAGGAAGUUUAUUGCUCGUUAUAUAUGUAUAUCGUAUUUAGAAAUUGUUUAAAGUUUUCAAUUUUAAAUUUGAGUUUGUGCCGUCUCUUACUUAUUAAUUUAUUGAAUAUGUCACUAAAUAAACAAAGUCUUAUUUGUCG